UAUGGCCAUACACCUAGGCAUGCCUGAUCUCUUCUGAUCUCAGAAGCUAAGCAGGAUUGGGCCUGGUUAGUACUUGGAUGGGAGAAAUGAGUAAAGAAUAAAGGUAUCAAAAUAU
rnacentral:rRNA from 1 species